rnacentral:rRNA from 1 species
GACGAACGCUGGCGGCGUGCUUAACACAUGCAAGUCGAACGGAAAGGCCCUGCUUUUGUGGGGUGCUCGAGUGGCGAACGGGUGAGUAACACGUGAGUAACCUGCCCUUGACUUUGGGAUAACUUCAGGAAACUGGGGCUAAUACCGGAUAGGAGCUCCUGCUGCAUGGUGGGGGUUGGAAAGUUUCGGCGGUUGGGGAUGGACUCGCGGCUUAUCAGCUUGUUGGUGGGGUAGUGGCUUACCAAGGCUUUGACGGGUAGCCGGCCUGAGAGGGUGACCGGCCACAGUGGGACUGGGAUACGGCCGAGCCGCCUACGGGCGGCAGCAGUGGGGAGUGUGGGCGAAUGGGCGGGAGCCUGAAGCAGCAACGCCGCGUGCGGUAGGAGGGCGUGCGGGUUGUAGACCAAUAUCGCCCGUGACGAAGCGUGCGUGGCGGUAAUGGGUACAGAAGCACCGGCCAACUACGUG